rnacentral:rRNA from 1 species
UACGGAAGGCAGCAGUGGGGAAUAUUGCACAAUGGGCGAAAGCCUGAUGCAGCUAUGCCGCGUGUAUGAAGAAGGCCUUAGGGUUGUAAAGUACUUUCAUCGGGGAGGAAAACAAACUAAUAAUUUUAUUUCUUGACGUUACCCGAAAAAGAAGCACCGGCUAACUCCGUGCCAGCAGCCGCGGUAAUACGGAGGGUGCUAGCGUUAAUCAGAAUUACUGGGCGUAAAAGAGCACGUAGGUGGUUUUUUUAAGUCAGAUGUGAAAUCCCUGGGCUUAACCUGGAACUGCAUUUUGAAAACUGAAAUACUAGAGUAUCGUAGAGGGAGGUAGAAUUCUAGGUGUAGCGGUGAAAUGCGUAGAUAUCUGGAGGAAUACCUGUGGCGAAAGCGGCCUCCUAAACGAAUACUGACACUGAGGUGCGAAAAGCGUGGGGAGCGAAACAGGGAUUAGAUCC